rnacentral:rRNA from 1 species
AAAUUGAAGAGUUUGAUCAUGGCUCAGAUUGAACGCUGGCGGCAGGCCUAACACAUGCAAGUCGAGCGGUAGCACAGAGAGCUUGCGCUCGGGUGACGAGCGGCGGACGGGUGAGUAAUGUCUGGGAAACUGCCUGAUGGAGGGGGAUAACUACUGGAAACGGUAGCUAAUACCGCAUAAU